rnacentral:rRNA from 1 species
GAUGAACGCUGGCGGCGUGCCUAACACAUGCAAGUAGAACGCUGAAGCUUAGUGCUUGCACCGAGCGGAUGAGUCGCGAACGGGUGAGUAACGCGUAGGUAACCUGCCCUCUUAGCGGGGGAUAACUAUUGGAAACGAUAGCUAAUACCGCAUAAAAGUCGACAUCGCAUGAUGUUGACUUGAAAGGUGCAAUUGCAUCACUAAGAGAUGGACCUGCGUUGUAUUAGCUAGUUGGUGAGGUAACGGCUCACCAAGGCGACGAUACAUAGCCGACCCUGAGAGGGUGAUCGGCCACACUGGGACUGAGACACGGCCCAGACUCCUACGGGAGGCAGCAGUAGGGAAUCUUCGGCAAUGGGGGCAACCCUGACCGAGCAACGCCGCGUGAGUGAAGAAGGUUUUCGGAUCGUAAAGCUCUGUUGUAAGAGAAGAACGAGUGUGAGAGUGGAAAGUUCACACUGUGACGGUAACUUACCAGAAAGGGACGGCUAACUACGUGCCAGCAGCCGCGGUAAUACGUAGGUCCCGAGCGUUAUCCGGAUUUAUUGGGCGUAAAGCGAGCGCAGGCGGUUAGAUAAGUCUGAAGUUAAAGGCUGUGGCUUAACCAUAGUACGCUUUGGAAACUGUUUAACUUGAGUGCAGAAGGGGAGAGUGGAAUUCCAUGUGUAGCGGUGAAAUGCGUAGAUAUAUGGAGGAACACCGGUGGCGAAAGCGGCUCUCUGGUCUGUAACUGACGCUGAGGCUCGAAAGCGUGGGGAGCAAACAGG